rnacentral:rRNA from 1 species
CGCGAGCUGGGUUCAGAACGUCGUGAGACAGUUCGGUCCCUAUCCGCCGUGGGCGUAGGAAAUUUGAGAGGAGCUGUCCUUAGUACGAGAGGACCGGGAUGGACCAACCUCUGGUGCACCAGUUGUUCCGCCAGGAGCACAGCUGGGUAGCUAUGUUGGGAAGGGAUAAACGCUGAAAGCAUCUAAGCGUGAAGCCCACCUCAAGAUUAGAUUUCCCAUAGCGUAAGCUAGUAAGACCCCUGAAAGACUAUCAGGUUGAUAGGUUGGAGGUGUAAGUACAGUAAUGUAUUCAGCUGACCAAUACUAAUAGGUCGAGGGCUUGAUCAAAUA